UACGUAGGGUGCAAGCGUUUGUCCGGAAUUAUUGGGCGUAAAGAGCUUGUAGGCGGUUUGCCGCGUCUGCUGUGAAAUUUCGGGGCUCAACCCCGAACUUGCAGUGGGUACGGGCAGACUAGAGUGUGGUAGGGGAGACUGGAAUUCCUGGUGUAGCGGUGAAAUGCGCAGAUAUCAGGAGGAACACCGAUGGCGAAGGCAGGUCUCGUGGGCCAUAACUGACGCUGAGAAGCGGAAAGCAUGGGGAGCGAACAGGAUUAGACUACCC
rnacentral:rRNA from 1 species